AAUCCCGGCGCCUCAGAGGACUAUGAGGCGGGCGCUAACUGCAUGGGCCGCAGGGCGGGAGGCAGCGCGGGAGCGGGGCGUUGAGGGGCCGGCCUAGCUUGGGGCUCUGGCCUUGCGUCUUCCGACCGAAUCGCCGCUCCUGAGCCCGGUGCUGGGCUGCCGCUAUCGCCUGGCCGUGGGUGCCGGAGCGGCCGGGUUGCGACUCAGCGUUCUUGGGUGGGCGCGGGCGGCGUCUCCGCGGCGGGCAUCCCCCGAGGCCGCCCUCGGGCCAUGAUCGACUCCGUGAAGCUGCGCCGCGACAGCGCGGCGGACUUCUUCUCCCACUACGAGUACCUGUGCGCGCUGCAGGACUCGGUGCCGCUGCCCGCCGUGCGCGCCUGUCUCCGGGAGGGCGUGCUGGAUUUCAACGCCGACCGCCUCCGCGGGGUGGACUGGGCGCCUCUGCUGAGCACCCUCAAGAUCAAUAAAGACCUGCCCUUGGUCUCCAUCAAGAGUUUCUUCCAGCCCUGGCUGGGGGACACAGGUUUGUAGUUCCCGCGUCCAGGGCCCCUCAGUCGGUGCGGCGAAGUGGGUUUUUAGGUUCUGACAUGAAUAAAUUUUGCAGAAGUCGUGUUCCUGCGAUAAGAUACAAAGAUGUGACCUUCCAGUUGUGUAAAGCUCUUAAAGGCUGUUUAAGUAUAUCAAGUGUGCUAAAGAACCUGGAGCUAAAUGGACUAAUUCUGAGAGAGAGGGAUUUAACUAUUCUAGCAAAGGGAUUGAAUAAAUCGGCUUCUUUGGUGCACCUGUCUCUUGCAAAUUGUCCAAUUGGAGAUGGAGGUUUAGAAAUUAUUUGUCAAGGUAUAAAGAGCUCUAUCACUCUUAAGACAGUCAACUUCACAGGAUGUAAUCUGACAUGGCAGGGAGCAGAUCACAUGGCCAAGAUCUUAAAGUAUCAGACCAUGAGAAGGCAUGAAGAAACCUGGGCUGAGAGUCUUCGCUAUAGGAGACCUGAUCUUGACUGUAUGGCUGGCUUAAGACGUAUCACACUGAAUUGCAACACACUUAUUGGUGACCUAGGUGCAAGUGCUUUUGCAGACUCUCUCAGUGAGGAUUUAUGGCUGAGAGCUCUUGACCUGCAACAGUGCGGCCUCACCAAUGAAGGAGCAAAGGCUUUGCUAGAGGCCCUUGAAACCAAUACAACUCUGGUCGUUCUGGAUAUAAGAAAAAAUCCACUCAUUGAUCAUUCUAUGAUGAAAGCAGUUAUCAAAAAAGUUCUCCAGAAUGGAAGGAGUGCCAAAUCAGAGUACCAGUGGAUAACUUCUCCAUCAGUGAAGGAACCAUCCAAAACUGCUAAACAGAAAAAGAGAACUAUAAUUCUAGGAAGUGGUCACAAAGGAAAAGCUACUAUUAGAAUUGGUAACCUUUUCUGUCUUGGCUUUUUAAUACCACUAGUGUUCUAGUGUGUUAAAAUUAAAAUCUCUUCUCAUUGUAUGAUAUUGACAGUAACAACCAAUAUUGACUCCCUGCAUAUUAUGAGGUCUGUAAUUGUUCUGAUAAGAUUAUGAGAAUUUAUGGAAUGUAGAAAUAGUAAAUGAAUCAUUAGGAAAGGGAUGCUAGUGCUUCCAUUUAAAAAAUUACCCUUAUUUGUUUUUCAUACAAUAUUCAUCAUUUUGGAUAUGUUUUCUGAUUCAUGAUUACUUUUGAUACUUUGCAAUUGAAAUUUGGGAUGCACUUUGAUGACAGUUUUAGCAGUGCUUUUGUAUGAUUUUGUUGUUGUUGUUAUUAAUGAAGAAUUAUCCUUUCAUACUAUAGAAAACAAAAUUUCUUCCCAGUUCCAUUUUUUUUCCCUUGUUUCCUCCUCCUUCCUUGCAAAUUCUUACCCAAAGUUGUUGUAUUAGGUAGCACCUUGCUUCUUUCAAUGAUGAAAUAACCUUAAAAUAUAUGUAAUCCUUGUAAAACAAUACUGCAGGUAAGUUUAUUACCCAGAGAUGGAACAUUUUAGACAAACAUUCCCUAAAUGUUUGCUAUUUAUGGUUUAUUUAAUCUGCCAAAUAAUAGUCUAGAAUUUUGAAAUUGUCUAUAAUUUUGUGACCAAGAAUAAUGAAAAAAGACUUUAUAAACUGUUUAUCAGCUAAUGGCAUAAAUUUCACAUUCUCCUGAAUACAUAAAUUUGGUAUAAUCUCGUUCUACUGAUAUUUUCACAUUUUUUUUAAAGAGUCUUUAACUUUUGUAGAACACAUUAUCUUUAGUCAUAAGUAGCCUUUUCUUACUGAUAAGAAUGAGUGACUGUGGAAUAAGUUAAGCCAAAUCUAAUGUGAAAGUGACCUUUUCUUGUAAGUAACUUUGAAUUUUGAAACAGUAAAACCAUGAAGACUACUACAGAGAAAAAAAUUAAUGUUUUUAUGUUUAUAAUCUGCCAGUUUCCCAGAAAAAGAUCUGUGGUGACUUUAGUUCAUACCCUGUACAUUAAGAUCACCAAACAAUUAACACCAGAUAAUCUUUUAUUUGGAUGCUACUUUAAAUUUUUAAAGGAUAUCACUUGACUUAAUAUCACUGAACUGUACACUUAAAAAUGGCUAAGAUAUAAAACAAUUUAACAUAAAAUAUAAAACAUUAGAAAUUCUAUAAUUUUAGUAGCUAGUGGUGUAUAAUUGGACAUCAUUGAAUGAGAAUAAAAAACAAAAAUCUUUUUUCUUAGCAUGAUUGAAGAAAUUGGAAAUGUGACUGAAGUUUACAAGCUCACUGAGCUAUUUUAAGAGUAACUUUAUUUCUCGGGCUUUUUUUGUAUUUGCCUCAGUAAUUUGGAGACACAGAGGUAAGCCAAAUCAGUGUCUGGCUUUAUAUUUAAUAGUUAGGUGUCAGUGAGUAUAGGGGUUAUAUAAUUUAUGUAAAUUAUAUCACAUUCAUAUUGCAAUUACGUGUACAGACAGAAGAUAGGAAACUUUAUAAUUUUUUUCGUCUAACAAGAUAAGUAAAUUAGUUUGGUUUUAAUUAAAAUUUAUAUU
rnacentral:sRNA from 1 species